rnacentral:lncRNA from 1 species
CUUGGCCCACUGCAACCUCUGUCUCCUAGGUUCAAAGUGAUUCAAGCGAUUCUCCUGCCUCAACCUCCAGAAUAGCCAGGACUACAGUUCCAGCCUGUCUCCAGACCCAAAGAGAGUUCAUCACCCCUUGACUGAAUAGAGCCUCUGGACUUCAGCUUCCAGUGGUUAGCAGCACCACCUCACUCCAGGAGAGCUGCAGGACCAGGCAGCUCUGUGCUCCCUUCUGUGUUUUAUCUGAUGGCAUUUAAAAAUUACAUAAGAUAAUAAUAGAGAAUAAUAUCCUCACCCCAUUAAUGUGUCACACAACAAUAUUUUGGUCAACAACAGACCGCAUAUACACUGUGGUCCCAUAAGAUUAUAAUGGAUCUGAAAAAAUUCCUGUUGCUUAGUGAUGUCUUAAUGACCCUGUGUAGGCCCAGGCUAACAAGUGUGUUUUGGUCUUACUUUUUAACAAAAAAAUGUUAACGGCAAAAAACAAUCAAAAUAAAAAAUAAAUAAAUAAAUAGAAAAAAACUUCUAGAAUAAAGAUAUACAGAAGGAAAAUAUUUUUGUGUACAACGUCUUUGUGCUUUUGUUGCCUGUUUAGGGUAGUUGUCCAGGUUCUUGGCGUUUUUAACAGAGAAUUGAACAAAACACACAAACAAAGCAAGGCAGUGAAGGCAGGGAUUUAAACAAAGUACACUCCAUAGGGAAGGAAAGGCCUUGAGCAAGCAGCUCAAGAGCAUUGAUUACAGAAUUUUCUGGGGUUUAAAUACCCUCUAUAGGUUUCCCACUGGUUCAUUCUGCGCAAAUCAGUCUGAUUGGUUGCAGGAGGGAACCGGUUGGAGGUACUUUCAUUUUCAACUGCCACACAGAAAAAGGAGGGGUUGCAACUGCCACAUAGCAACUGACACGCCGAAAAAGGAGGCGUUGCAACUGCCACACAGAAAAAGGAGGGGUUGCAACUGCCACGCAGCAACUGCCACGCAGAAAAAGGAGGGGUUGCAACUGCCACGCAGCAACUGCCACGCAGAAAAACGAGGGGUUGCAACUGCCACGCAGCAACUGCCACACAGAAGAAGGAGGGACUGCAACUGCCAUGCAGCAACUGCCACACAGAAAAAGGAGGGGUUGCAACUGCCACGCAGAAAAAGGAGGGGUUGCAACUGCCACGCAGCAACUGCCACGCAGAAAAAGGAGGGGUUGAAAAGGGAGUAGCUUCUGAUAUUCAGUAAGUACGAAUCGGCCUUAGGUUCCCUGCCUCAAGACCCUAUUCUCCUGCCUCACUUUUAGCUAAGGGUUAUUACAAAAGAGUCAGAAAGUUAAGACAAAAUAUGAAAGUUUAUAAAGUAAAAAGAGUUACAGUGAGCUAAGUAUAACUUAUUGAAAACAUUUUUUUAAUUUAGUAUAGCCUAACUGUGUUUAUACAGUCUACAGUAGUAUACAGUAAUAUCCUAGACCUCCACAUUCCCUCGCCACUCACUCACUCACUCACCGACUCACUCAGAGCAACAUCCAGUCCUGGAAGCUCCAUUCACAGAAGCUAUUGGAAGAGAUGCUCAAAGAAGAAAAAAUUACCAUAAUCCAAUAAAGAAGAAGACCUGAGAUCCAGGAAGCAGAUGAUCUGAACUGCAGAGAAAGUUCAGGAAAGUUCCCUCAUUCAUGAUGAUGGGAAAUAACAGUAAAUUCUGUACAGCAGUCUUGGACAACAACCAAUCUAAACUGGCACAGUGCAGAGGCAAUCAACAGAGAACAUAAUAUUGAUAGAAUGCCUGACGCUUUUGAUUGUAUUCACAGGAAACAUAAACAAUUGGAAGACAGUUUAUGAAUGAAUUAGUGAUAAGCAUUUUUUUUCAACUUUUAUUUUAGAUUCAAGGGUACAUGUGCAGGUUUGGUGCCUGGGUAUACUGGGUGAUGCUGAGGUUUGUGUUACAAAUGAUCCCAUCAUCCAGGUACUGAGCAUGGUAUCCAGUAGUUAGUUUUUAACCCUUCUCCUGUCUCUCUCCUGGUGGUCCCCAGUUUCUACUGUUGCCAUCUUUAUGUCCAUGAGUAUACAAUGUUUAGCUCCCACUUGUGAGAACAUGCGUAUUUGCCUAUUUAAUUAUUUGUUUAUUUGUUGAGACAUAGUUUCACUCUCUAGCCCGAUCUUGGCUCACUGCAACCUACGCUUCCUGUGUUCAAGCGAUUCUCUUGCCUCGGCCUCCCCAGUAGCUGAGAUUACAGGCACCUACUACCAUGCCUGACUAAUUUUUGUAUUUUAAUAGAGAUAGGGUUGCACCCUGUUGGCCAGGCUGGUUUCAAAUUCCUGAUCUCAAGCGAUCCACUCACCUUGGCCUCCCAAACGGCUGGGAUUACAGGCUUGAGCCACCACGCCCAGCCACUAUUUGCUUUUCUAUUCCUGCAUUAAUUUGCUUAGGAUAAUAGCCCUCAACUUCAUCCAUUUUGCUGCAAAGAAAAUAAUUUUGUUCUUUUUUAGGGCUGCAUAGUAUUCCAUGGUGUAUAUGUACCACAUUUGUUUUAUUUAAUCCACUGUUGAUGGACACCUGGGUUUAUUCUAUGCCUUUGCUACUACAAAUAGGGCUGUGAUGAACAUGCAAAGGCAUGUGUCUCCUUGAGAUAAAUAUUUUAAAAAUACAAUAAAAUCAAAAAAAUUAAUGUCAGGGCUAACAUACAGUUAUUAGAAAAAAAAAUAUUUUGUUAUUAUAGAUAGACACUAGCUUUAACAUAAUAAUAGUUAUGUAAGUAGUCGAAGUUCAUAUGAUCAAAAUUAUUAUUUAGCUGUUUUAAAAGAAUGCAGAUAUAAGAGAUAUACCAUUAAUGGUGAAUAGUUCCAGUAAAAGCAAGCUAAGCUCUCUUUCACAUUCCAUAGAGGGAAUUUAAUAAGCCCUGAAACCGAAAGUUCAAGAAGGAAAAGUGCAAGUCCUACAUGAAUUGAUCAAUGAUUGCCUCUGGAAAUUAUUGGUGUGAAUGGGGAGGCAAAAUUGCUAGUUUGGUUAAUAAGCUAUGUAACUGUUUGAUAAUUCUUCACUUGCAUGUAAACUUCGGUACAAAUAAAAGCUAAUGAAAACAGAGACAGAAUUAUUAAAUCAUCAUAACAUAAAGUUAACAUUUUUCAUCAUUUUUCACUUGUUCAAAGAUCAUAAGAAAUUUUCAUCUUAAUUUUCAAGCAUCAACUAAUGUUUCUACUCUCCCUGAGUACCAUAAAAAGCCUUCUGUGGACAGUCUAAGUGACAAUGACACAUUAGAUUUGGCAAAAAUUACUUUCAGAUGUAAAUCAAUUUGAGAAUGAACUGAUGCUCUGAAACCGGAAUUUACUUGUUGCUCAAAUUUGCCCCAAAAUAAAAUAAUUUUCAAUCAUAGGAGAAUUCACAGGGCCCAGCUCUCCAUUGGUGUUCCAAUCUAUUCUCUGACCUCUAUGCUGUACACAAGAAUCCUCAAUGGUUUUUCUGGAACCCAAGACAGAAAUAAUAUCCCAAAUGAUGCUUGCUCUAAGAGUAUCACUCACCCAGGGGGUUUACCCCCUGCAACUUUCCCUUUUACCAGUUUUGCUACAGAUUUUUAUGAACUUAGUUCCCCAGUCACCAGGGCCACAGAUGUUUGAAAUACUUUUCUGUCUUUUUUUUUAAGUGAUAAACAACUGAAUUCCUAUUCACUUUUACUCCACGAGUGACUUUACAAUACAUUAAAAAAAGAUAAACUGUCAGUAUUCUUUUCUUUAAAAACUGUAAAAUGCCUUUCCACUUAUUUCUUAUACUAUGUUGUCUCUCAGAUAAUACAUUGAUGCAAUUUUGGAUAAUGUUUUAAUGAAGAAGUUGACAGUAAUGCACAUUAAUUAAAAUAUGUAAAAAUCUAUAUUCAUAACACGACUUUGAAUUUUAAAUGUUUUCAGUGAAAACAUGUCAUAUUGUAGACAUGCUGAGAAAAUUCUACAUAUUUAUUUAUCCAGUCCUCAUCCAACAGAUAUCCCAAUGGCAAUAGAAUGCAAUUUGUGAAAAGGUUUAUAAAAUAAGUGGGUUUAACUGAAAUUCAACUUUCAUUAACUGUUGAUUGAGCACUCUGUCACUAUUUUAAGUAUUAGAAAUACAGUAGUAAACAAAUUCUACCUAAUUCUUGACCUCAGGUACUUUCCAUUUCACUGGUAUUACUUGAUAUUUUUAAAGAUUACACAUAUAGGUCAAUAGAUCUCCAUGAAACAUAAAAAUAGUAAAAAGAAGGAGAAAAAAGAGGAAAGGGAAGGGAAAUAAAGUAUACAAGUCAUGCAUUAUCUGUUCUAGUCAACACAAUAAUUCAUUUUCUAUUGUUUUGACAUCUGGGUGGUGGGGGGAACCCACAACUCGCAUCCUUCAUUGACUAUGUUUGCAAAGUUUGGAGAGAAAAUUUGCAGGGUCCCAUUUUAGAUGGCUAAGUCUGAGAUGCCAAUUAGACAUGCCACAGGAGAUGUAGAAUAAGAGCUGAAUAUUUCAGUCUAGAAUUCAGUAAAGGAUUUCAACUGAAGAUCAAAUGUGGAAGUCAUCAGCCUAUAGAUGAUAAAGCACAUAGCAAUUCCGACAUAGAUUAUAAUGAAAUUUAUAAAUCUGAACACCACUGAUUUCUCAAUCCCCCUUCAUCCUCUUCCUUUUUCUCUCCUUUGUCUCCUCUUCCUCCUUUUUCCUUAUUUCUUUCUCCUCCUCAUUCUCCUUACACUCUUUCUUCUCCUCCUCCUCCUCCUCCUCCUCCUGCUCUGCUUGGUGAGCAGAUGGGACUGAGUUAAAUUACAAGCAUUUUCUUUGUUUCUCUAUCCUUUUCUUUAUGGCACUUUAGUAAAUGAGGCCUUGCUCCCCUCCCAUAGGUAUAUGUGUAUUGCUUAUACUGUCGGCUUUGAAAUAUUACUAAUAAGCUCUACUCACCUUGCUUGCAGUCCAUUUUAGAUUUUUGAAUGUCACCAACUAUAUCCUCUGUUUUUACCCACCUACCAAAACUUAAAUAGAAGCACAUAUUGUUUUAUUUCUUCAGAGACUGUCCAAUCUAAGGGUAAACUAGGCCAAUCCAUAAAGAUGGGUACAGAUUUGAGACUCAUGGACAGAGAGGACUUAGAUUUGACUCAUUGCUUUCACUUUGUGAAAGCCAAUUCAAAGUGUCUACAGUUAAGAAUAAAAAGAGAGGGCACACUGUCCCUCCAUGGCCCUGAUUUUUCCUCUGUGAGGCAUGCCAGUAAUUAGAUGGUCUCCAUAUAUGGCAUACAAGGAGAAUUUGGUAAAAUCAGAAGAGGCUGGAAAUUUUGGACGCUUUAAAUUCAGAUACUGAAGCAUGUCGGCAUUCAAAGACUCACCCUGUUACCAUAGAAAUAAAUCCUUGUCUUACCAGUUACACAUUUCUUUACUUAAUUCUAACUGAACCAUUAGGUUUAUUGAAUUUUUAGUACAAAAAGCUCACCAUAGCCUACUGUGUAGUAGAGAUCAAUUUACAUUUUACUGAAGAUUUCUAGAAGAGACCAUGGAAGGGUAUUACUAUACACAACAUACAACUUCGCACAAUGUCUCUCUUCUCAAGCUCCUGCUGCCAUGUAACUCAUAAUGUCCCUUCCCGAUUCACUGGCAAUUUUUCCCAUUUGCUACAUAGAGUUGUUUAGGCUGUGCCCCACAUCCAUCUCACCACUCAUCAAAGAGCUUUUCAGAGUAUAACAUCAUGACAAAAGUGUCUGGGAUAACAAAUGAUAGAUAAUAUCUCCUGUAACUCAGUUGUUCAAAAAAAAAUCACUGAGAGAUGAUAGUAUGGAUAUACAAAGAAGUCUCUUAUGGCCUUCAAGAGUACAUCUCUAAUGCUGUAAGAUCCUUGUGUUUUAAAAACUUUCAAACAAUCCAAUUCAUAUAUUGAAGCACUUAAGGAAAGACUAGAGACUAUAGCGGUUCAGCACUUUGCAAUGUGUGAAAAAAAUUAAGCCAUAAUUUCUGCUUUUACAUCUGUAUUUUAAAAAAUUAUUACUCCUUUACUAACAUUAUGAGCAUUUUAUGAACAUCAUAAUUUAUCUCCAUUGCCCUUCUCUUGGUCUGUUUCAGUUGAUAUAUAACACACUACAAAUUGCUAAAAGUAAGUUAUUACAGUGAGCAAUUUCUAAUUAUUUCCUCUGAUUAAAGCUUAGAUAUGUCAAGGAAGCUGAUCCCACAUGUUACUGUUUGAUGAGAAACUAUGCUUUAUAAUUAAUCUCUGCCAUUUAAAAAUAUAUAUGAAUUGGAUUUUGCAUUAAUAUCUGUGAAACGUUUUAAUUUUAUUUCUCAUUUCUUUCUGAUUUAUUAAGGGAUAAAUUAUCAUAGCCAACAUAUAUUAGAAAAAAUAAAAUACUAUUAUGAUUAAUAAGAGUAUUACAUGUUCUACUUGUAUAAGAGAAAACAGUUGAACACCUGUCAGAAAAGUUUAUAAUCAGAUGCAAAUCUAACUUGUGUCUGCUAUGUCUACAAACUUUCAGUUCCUUUACUUGUAUUCUUUAUAUUUUUAUCAAUUUCUCAGUUAUUAGUAGAAAAAAUUUUACCCCAUGCAGACUUUGUUAUAUACCAAUGGUUUCCAAACUUUAAAAGCCAGAGGAAUUGUUGAAACAUAUUGCUUGACCCAUCACCAAAGUUUAUAAUUAAGUAAGUCUAAGGAAGAACCCAAUAAUUUGCAUUUUUAAUAAAUUUUCAGGUGCCAGUGAUGCUGCCAGCCAAGGGACUACAUUUUGAGAACCACUACUAUAAGUUUCUUAAAAUCUAAUACAAUAAGUUUCUUCAUUGUUUUUAAUCAGGAU